rnacentral:rRNA from 1 species
UCUCAGUUCGGAUUGGAGGUCUGCAACCCGACUCCAUGAAGCUGGAUUCGCUAGUAAUCGCGCAUCAGCCACGGCGCGGUGAAUACGUUCCCGGGCCUUGUACACACCGCCCGUCAAGCCAUGGAAGCCGGGGGUGCCUGAAGUGCGCUGCCGCAAGGAGCGUCCUAGGGUAAAACCGGUGACUGGGGCUAAGUCGUAACAAGGUAAC